CUGUUAUCUGCCAGGAGGUUGAUGAGGCUCUGGAUAGCUGGAGGGUGCCCCCCGCGACCCCCCUCCUCCGGGCCUCCACGGUCUCUUUCCUGGAGGAUGGCGUCAUUAGCCAUCUUGGCCGCCUGUCGGGCGAUCUCCUCGCGCUCCUUUUCUCGACAGUCGUUCUUGUAGCGCUCAUAGUUCCUGGCCACCAGCACCAUGGCGUCUGCCUGGGGCAUGUUUCGAUGCUCUACAGAAGGGAGCGACACCAGUCACUUUCUCAGACCCACGACACAUCCAAGUGCUCACUGCUGCACUCAGUCUCAAAGCAGAGAAGCACUGCAGUGCCAAGAAGUCUUGAACCUAGAGUGAGGUGGGCUGAGGGACAGAGCAGCACUCUUCAGUGUGGGACACACC
rnacentral:lncRNA from 1 species